rfam:Oryza meridionalis cultivar OR44 (W2112) chromosome 4, whole genome shotgun sequence.
UUUAAGUGAAGUCAUGGGUUUCUGUAUUCCACGUUUGAUUGUCUGUCUUGUUUAAAUUUUUUUAUGAUUAUUAAAUGAUAAAACAUAAAUAGUACUUUAUGCGUGACUUUUUUUAAAUUUUUUUAUAAUUUUUUAAAAUAAGACGGACGAUCAAACGUUAGACACAUAAACCCACAUCUACAGUUAAA